rnacentral:pre_miRNA from 1 species
UUGUUACUUCCUUCAUCCAAAAAUUCUUAUCUUAAAUUUAUAUAGAUAUUAAUGUAUCUAGUUACGUUUUAUUAUUUAGAUACAACUAUUUUUAGAUAAAUCUAGGACAAGCAUUUUGGGACGGAGGGAGUAUUAC